CCUACGGGUGGCAGCAGUGGGGAAUAUUGCACAAUGGGGGAAACCCUGAUGCAGCGACGCCGCGUGAGUGAAGAAGUAUUUCGGUAUGUAAAGCUCUAUCAGCAGGGAAGAAGAAAGCCGGUACCUGACUAAGAAGCCCAGGCUAACUACGGCCCAGCAACCCGGGUAAAACGUAGGGGGCAAGCGUUAUCCGGAUUUACUGGGUGUAAAGGGAGGGUAGACGGCGGUGCAAGUCUGAAUUGAAAGCCCAGGGCUCAACCCUGGGACUGCUUUGGAAACUGUUGGGCUAGAGUGCUGGAGAGGUAAGUGGAAUUCCUAGUGUAGCGGUGAAAUGCGUAGAGAUUAGGAGGAACACCAGUGGCGAAGGCGGCCUACUGGACAGUAACUGACGUUGAGGCUCGAAAGCGUGGGGAGCAAACAGGAUUAGAUACCCUUGUAGUC
rnacentral:rRNA from 1 species